GCUGGAUCACCUCCUUUCUAAGGAGCACCACGAAAAACACCCCAACUGGUGGGGUGUCAGCCGUGAGGGGUUCCCGCCUGUAGUGGGCGGGGGCCGGGUGCACAACAGCAAAUGAUUGCCAGACACACUAUUGGGCCCUGAGACAACACUCGGCCAGUCCGUGUGGUGUCCCUCCAUCUUGGUGGUGGGGUGUGGUGUUUGAGUAUUGGAUAGUGGUUGCGAGCAUA
rnacentral:misc_RNA from 1 species